GGACAUGAUGUGGUUAUCCCAUUCGACCGACCAAAGUCUCAAAGGCAGUUUAUGGGUCCUAUAUAUGAAUACUGUUUAUGUUUGACUUAACUUUUAACACCAAAAAGAAUCAAUUAACGGAAACAAGAAAGGAGGAGAUGAGAUCGAGCCAGAUCUUGGAAUGCCUUCAGGGAUUGUGAGAAGAGGCUGAGAAGAGCAAUCGCAAAGGCAAGGUGGGCAAGUGUUGGAAGUGUGGCUGAAGGCUACUAAUCCUUCCAUGAAAUGCCAAUAGACAGAACCCCACCUUCAACGCCGGCGUCUGGUUCACUGCCAUCUCUUCUAUCUCAGAGCCCCACCUUAACACCGCCGUCUGGUUCACUGCCAUCUCUUCUAUCUCAGAGUCUAACUGGAAACCAAAUCAAGAUUGCUGCUGGAGAGUUUCUUGAUUGAAAAGAGAAACGGAGGGGUGAGAUUAGGGGUGUUUUGAGGAUAUCGAUUUUAGGGGAAAAAAUUAGGGGUUUCAGAGGGGGGAAAAUUUUGGAAUAAGACCGCGCCGUUUUUGAGAUGAUUUUUUUUGUGGCGUUUUUAUAAAAAACGCUGUUAUUGUUAAUGUUUUGCUGCGUUUUUUUAUAAAAACGCCACAAAAAAAUCAUUUCAUUUGUUAAAAUAAAAUGAUAUCGUUUUUUUUACUAAAAUUUUUUUAUUUUAUUUGUUAAAAAUUAUUAGUUAAAUAAUUUUAUAAAAUAUUUAUUAUUACUAUUUUUUAUAAAUUGGUUUUUAUAACUAAAAAAUUAAGUACUCUGAAAAUAAAUAUCGUGUAUUUUAAUAAGAAAACAAAUAAUUAAAUGGUUGUAAUUAAUUAUUAAGUUAAAAUUAUCUAAUGUAAGCAAUCAAUCUCUCACAUAUCAAAUUUCUAUUAAAAAUUGAGACGUUAAUCAUAAUUUUAUAUUAUUCUUUUCCGAUUUAAUCUCCAUUUCAUUAGAGAUAUUUCUUCCUAACUAAAAUAUAACUAUUUUGCUAGAAUUCGAUGUGGAAUGAUUUUAGUUUUUGUAUUUCAUUUUUAUUUGUUAUAAUCUGGUCCUAUCCAAAAUAGUUAGUUACCUAUCCAUAUCAAUGAUUUGUUACUUUUUUUAUUUAUUUAUCAAUAUUUUUUUAAAAUCUAAUAUUUAAAUACAUCAAAUAAGUUUAGAUUAAAUAUUUUUAAAUAUAAAAGUAUUAAUUGAUUGUAAAAAAUUUAAUCAUUUAACAAAACUUGAGUAAACCUUAAAUCCUAAACCAUUUAAUAUAUAUAAAGUUUAUCUAUUACCUCUUAAAUAAUUUAAACUAUAAUCAUAAUUUUAAGAUAUUAAAAUUAAUAUUAUCUUUUUUUACAAUUAUAUAUGUAAUUAUUUAAUAUAUAAAUUAAAAAACACUAAUUAAUCUAAACCCUAAAUCCCUAGCCCCUAACCCCUAAACCUUAAACCAUAAAACAUAAACCUUAACCCCCAACCUUAAACCCCAACCCCUUAAAACUUAAACCCUAACCUUUAACCCAUAAACCAUAAACCAUAAUUCAUAAACCUUACAAUAGUAACUCAUAAACAUUAAACCCUUAACCAUAUACCAUAAACCCUAAACUAUAAUGAUAAUUAAUUCAAUAUUUUAAAAUUAAUAAUAUUUUAAAAUUAAUACUAUAUCUUUUACAAUUAUAUAAGAAAAUAUUUAACAUAUAAAUUAAAAAACAAUUAGUUAUAUACCAAAAAUAUUUAAAAUUAUUUUAAAUAAUAGUAUUUUAAUUUUCUUUCAUAUUUGUGGUGUUUUUCAAAAAACGCCGCUAAAGAUCAGCAUUAGCGGCGUUUUUUAAAAAGCGCCGCUAAAGGUGUACUUAUAGCGGCGUUUCUUAAAAAAGCGCCGCUAAUGCUCGAUCUUUAGCGGCGUUUUUAAAAAGCGCCGCGAAAGCCACUAAAAUCUCAAUACAAAACGAUGGCGUUUUACAAAAUUAAUUUGCGGCGUUUUCUAAAAAGCGCCGCUAAAGGUGUACAUAUUGCGGCGUUUUUACAAAAGCGCCGCUAAUACUCAAUCUUUAGUGGCGUUUUUAAAAAGCGCCGCAAAUGCUCGCUCCUUAGUGGCGUUUUUCAUUCAAAUGCCGCUAAAAACGCCGUUAAAAACCUAUUUUGCUAUAGUGAUCACACCAAAACUUACCUCAAUAGAAUCACAUUGGAAAGCAAAUUGCUCAGAUACUUAAAAAGGGAUAGACUAUGGAUUUUCUUAUAGAAGGGGAGGAUGAACUACACUAGCAUCCUAUGUUGAUGUUGAUUGGGCUUCAUCCUUGGAGGAUGGAAGAAACUGUAUAUAUGUGGGAAUGAAUUUAGUUGCACGGUCACCAUCAAUUUUUGAAGCGAAAUAUUGAAGCAUGAAGCGUGCAUUAUCAACUAAAUGUUGUGUCUCAAAUAGAAGCUAAU
rnacentral:lncRNA from 1 species